rnacentral:rRNA from 1 species
AUUGAACGCUGGCGGCAGGCCUAACACAUGCAAGUCGAGCGAGCGGCGGACGAGUGAGUACUGUCUGGGAAACUGCCUGAUGUAGGGGGAUACCUCCUGGAAACGGUAUCUAAUACCGCAUACCAUCAGAUUUGCCCAGAUGGGAUUAGCUAGUAGGGUGGGUAACGGCUCACCUAGGCGACGAUCCCUAGCUGGUCUGAGAGGAUGACCAGCCACACUGGAACUGAUACACGGGCCAGACUCCUACGGUAGGCAGCAGUGGGGAAUUUUGGACAAUGGGGGAAACCCUGAUCCAGCCAUCCCGCGUGUGCGAUGAAGGCUUUCGGGUUGUAAAGCACUUUUGGCAGGAAAGCGGUACCUGCAGAAUAAGCACCGGCUAACUACGUGCCAGCAGCCGCGGUAAUUC